CAGCUAGCCAUGCAGUCUCAGUACGAGCUGACUUAAAGUGAAACCGCAAAAGGCUCAGUAAACCGGUCAUAGUUUACCGGAUAUAUGCCACUCACGUGGAUAACUGUGGUAAUUCUAGAGCUAAUACAUGAGACCAAGUCCCGACCAGCGAUGGAAAGGACGCUUUUAUUGGAACAAAACCAUUCGCCCGGCUCGCCCGGGCGUCUGCUUGAUGACUCUAGAUAACACCACAGAUCGCACGGUCACAGUACCGGCGACGUAUCCGUCAAAUGUCUGACUUAUCAGCUGUCGAUGGUAGACUCUGUGUCUACCAUGGCGCUCACGGGUAACGGGGAAUCAGGGUUCGAUUCCGGAGAGGGAGCCUGAGAAACGGCUACCACAUCCAAGGAAGGCAGCAGGCACGCAAAUUACCCACUCCCGGCACGGGGAGGUAGUGACAAAAAAUAACGAUACGGGACUCAUCCGAGGCCCCGUAAUCGGAAUGAGAACACCCUAAAUCCUUUAACGAGGAUCUAUUGGAGGGCAAGUCUGGUGCCAGCAGCCGCGGUAAUUCCAGCUCCAAUAGCGUAUAUUAAAGUUGUUGCGGUUAAAAG
rnacentral:rRNA from 1 species